UAUAGGCUAAUUAAGAGCGUAAGGGGGAUACCUUGGCUCUCAGAGGCGAAGAAGGACGUGAUAAGCUGCGAAAAGUUACGGGGAGUGGCACAUACAUAUUGAUCCGUAAAUAUCCGAAUGGGGAAACCCGAUUAUUUGAAGAAUAAUCAUCCAUAUUUAUAUGGAAGCUAACCCGGAGAACUGAAACAUCUAAGUACCCGGAGGAAUAGAAAACAAAAGUGA
rnacentral:rRNA from 1 species